UACAGAGGUCUCAAGCGUUGUUCGGAUUCAUUGGGCGUAAAGCGUGUGUAGGCGGACUUCUAAGUACCUUGUGAAAUCCCACGGCUCAACCGUGGAACUGCUCGGUAUACUGGUCGUCUUGAGCCACUUAGGGGCAGUCGGAACAGACGGUGGAGCGGUGAAAUGCGUAGAUAUCGUCUGGAACGCCAAAGGUGAAAACAGACUGCUGGGAGUGUGCUGACGCUGAGACACGAAAGCCAGGGGAGCAAACGGG
rnacentral:rRNA from 1 species